rnacentral:rRNA from 1 species
UACGUAGGGGGCAAGCGUUGUCCGGAUUUAUUGGGCGUAAAGAGCGUGUAGGCGGUUUGGUAGGUCCGCUGUGAAAACUCGAGGCUCAACCUCGAGACGCCGGUGGAAACCAUCAGACUAGAGUCCGGAAGAGGAGAGUGGAAUUCCUGGUGUAGCGGUGGAAUGCGCAGAUAUCAGGAAGAACACCCGUGGCGAAGGCGGCUCUCUGGGACGGUAUUGACGCUGAGACGCGAAAGCGUGGGGAGCGAACAGG